GUUCAGAACUAAAACUCUUAAAUCAGCCCGAUCCUAUCUGAUCUCGGAAGCUAAGCAAGGUCGGGCCUGAUGAGUACUUGGAUGGGAGACCACCUAGGAAGACCAGGUGCUGUGGGCA
rnacentral:rRNA from 1 species